rnacentral:tRNA from 1 species
GGAGCUUUAGCUCAGUUGGUCAGAGCAUCCGGCUCAUAACCGGACGGUCCAGGGUUCGAGUCCCCGAAGCUCCAC